UGCCAGACUGAACCGACAUUUGUCAACAAUAAUAUGAUCGCCAUUAGUAGUACUGAUAUUACUGAUAUCUUGGAAGGGAUCCAACUCCAGAAUAUAGGAGGAUGCAUGAUCGGAACCUGAAAAAUACAACUUCCCAUUGCAAGCAACGCCAGCAGUUACGAUAUCAAAAUAAUUUCGUAGGCCGCAUACCACAUUAGCGGACUCCCUCCAUUCACCGGUCUCAGAAAAGAAGAUGUCCACAUAGAACUCUUGACGUAGUCGCACAACCCUCCACCUAUAUUCAGCAUUAAUGGAAACUCAUCAUCGAAGGUGGAAGAUGAGUUGUAGUUGUAGUAGGGAUCACAAAUGAACCCUACGCUUACCCAAUUAUGGAUUCGAGGAGGGGGAGGAAGAGCAACCCAUUUCUUGGUGUAUGGAUUGCAAAUGUAAUAAUCACGUUGAUCAAGUUCGCUUGGGCAGCACAAAACUAAGUCGUCGCACGCCCCUACCACAAAUAAUUUUUGUUCUGCUGCGGCUUCUGAAAUAACAGGUAGCUUCAAACUCAUCAGACCAUCCUCGUCUUCCACCCGAAAGAAUGUUCCAUUGUCUACAACUAUUGUACCUAAAUUGGGCGUUUUCAAAUCACGUUGGCGACGUACAUAUUGCCCAACAAAAUGAGAACUAGAGAUGAGUUCACACCAACGCUUGGACACGCACUUGCAUUGGAAAAC
rnacentral:lncRNA from 1 species